rnacentral:lncRNA from 1 species
GCGCCGCGCCUGCAACUCCGUCCGUUUGCAGUUUGGGGCGGGAGGUGGGAGGAGCCGCUUGGGGGGCGAAUGGGAAACGCGCCUCCCCUCCCUCUGCUCCGCGCAAGACGUGAAGGCCUCUUGGGGGCUCCUGAAUGGGGGCAGGGUGGGAAAACUUCUGUUUCCCCUUUCCCCCGCCUGUCCUUCACCCCCGUGGAGCUGUUGCAAGAGCGGCAGGUUGCGGCUGAGCGUCCUGCGAGCACUGCGCUAAGGGCUGCCCGCAUUCCUUUCUCUGUCCUGAAGGACGGAAUCGCUUUGCUCUGGCCUGGUCACCUUCUUGGGGCCGUGCUGACCUGUGCGACGCUGACCUCUCCGCUCUUGCCUUCUGGCUGGGCUCCCAUCUGGCCCUCUCUGGGCGGUGGCUUUUUCUUAGUGAUUGCUUCCNAUGGAGUGGUGUGUCUGUUCUUUCCUGGAGAUCUUCUUCUUAUUUCUUGAGCUGAGGUGCUAACAAGGACUCGAUGCGUCAACCCCACAGAGCCGCGGGCCAAGGAGGCGCCAUCCUGGCACGCUGAGGGAAAGGCGGCAGCGAAAGAACACGCACAGCACAGCUGCGCUCCUCCUGUGUGCCUCGCCUCGCGGGUAGCGUGGGUCUCCUCCGAGGAGGCUGGCGGAGCACCGGCAGAGACGCAGGCGCAGGGCCCUAACCCNCUGCGGAACCCGAACGGUCAGUCGGAGCCCCAGGGGAGCGUCCAAACCGUUUAACCCGUUGAAGCCACGCGGGGCUUUCCUGCUUCCCGUCUCCCACUCGCUUCGAAGGGGGGGCAAGAGAGCGCCGUGGCUGCAUGGGCCCCCCAUGCUACAGCAUCUGCUGCUGCCUUGGGCUCCGCCAUCCGACGGAUCACCUGGCACGCUUCAAGGGGCGCUUGGGUCGGGUGUUGGCUGGGCGGGGGCGUCGCCCUGGUCUCUGGGCAGACGGGAGCUGGGAGAGGCCAGAACUGCUCCNGUUGGCCCGGGUGGGCGUGUAGCAAGCGGCGGCUGCGUGUGGCAAAUAUGCCCUGCAGUCACCAGCAGAUGUGUUUUGCUACUCUUGCCAGUUUCUUCGACUGCAGCUUAACACGGUGGCUGAGAACGCUUGCUGAGGCAUCGCCUUCUCCAUUUAGCGUGUUUAAUACUCAUCCAAUCCUUGUCCUGCAACGGUAAACCACAGAAUUUUCCUAAGCGUGUCAGAGACCUCCUCCUUAUUUCUCUUGUUUCUGGUUCUGCUGCUGUCAUUGGCAGCCAUUACGUGGGUUUGCUGUUCAGGGCAGAAACAUGCAGGCUCCCUUGGGUACGGAAACCCCAGCGUGCCAGGUGCGCUUCGAAAACGCCUAGGUAGGCAGAGAGGCGCCUGCCAUUUCGAAUCCAGGCCUUCUUUUGAAAGUAGCCAGGCUGGCCGGCAACCCCGCACUGCGUGAGAGUGAAUUGUGCGGCACACGUCCCAGGAAGGGGGUGUCGGGGGGGGCAGGCGACGAG